rnacentral:rRNA from 1 species
CGAGGGGCAGCGGGGGUGAUGGCUUGCCAUCACCUGCCGGCGACCGGCGCACGGGUGAGUAACACGUAUGCAACCUGCCCGCCACAGGGGGAUAAGCGGAAGAAAUUCCGUCUAAUACCGCGUGACGCGGCGCCGGGGCAUCCCGGUGCCGCCAAAGGGAUUACCGGUGGCGGAUGGGCAUGCGGCGCAUUAGCUAGUCGGCGGGGUAACGGCCCACCGAGGCGACGAUGCGUAGGGGUUCUGAGAGGAAGGUCCCCCACACUGGUACUGAGACACGGACCAGACUCCUACGGGAGGCAGCAGUGAGGAAUAUUGGUCAAUGGGCGCGAGCCUGAACCAGCCAAGUCGCGUGAGGGAUGACGGUCCUACGGAUUGUAAACCUCUUUUGCCGGGGAGCAAGCGUGCGUUCGUGAACGCGCGUCGAGAGUACCCGGAGAAAAAGCAUCGGCUAACUCCGUGCCAGCAGCCGCGGUAAUACGGAGGAUGCGAGCGUUAUCCGGAUUUAUUGGGUUUAAAGGGUGCGUAGGCGGGAUGCCAAGUCAGCGGUAAAAAUGCGGUGCUCAACGCCGUCGAGCCGUUGAAACUGGCGUUCUUGAGUGGGCGAGAAGUAUGCGGAAUGCGUGGUGUAGCGGUGAAAUGCAUAGAUAUCACGCAGAACUCCGAUUGCGAAGGCAGCAUACCGGCGCCCUACUGACGCUGAGGCACGAAAGCGUGGGUAUCGAACAGGAUUAGAUACCCUGGUAGUCCACGCAGUAAACGAUGAAUGCUAACUG